rnacentral:rRNA from 1 species
UGGGGAAUAUUGCACAAUGGGCGCAAGCCUGAUGCAGCCAUGCCGCGUGUGUGAAGAAGGCCUUCGGGUUGUAAAGCACUUUCAGCGAGGAGGAAGGUGGUGAGCUUAAUACGCUCAUCAAUUGACGUUACUCGCAGAAGAAGCACCGGCUAACUCCGUGCCAGCAGCCGCGGUAAUACGGAGGGUGCAAGCGUUAAUCGGAAUUACUGGGCGUAAAGCGCACGCAGGCGGUUUGUUAAGUCAGAUGUGAAAUCCCCGGGCUCAACCUGGGAACUGCAUUUGAAACUGGCAAGCUAGAGUCUCGUAGAGGGGGGUAGAAUUCCAGGUGUAGCGGUGAAAUGCGUAGAGAUCUGGAGGAAUACCGGUGGCGAAGGCGGCCCCCUGGACGAAGACUGACGCUCAGGUNCGAAAGCGUGGGGCAGCAAACAGGAUUAGAUACCCUGGUAGUCCACGCUGUAAACGAUGUCNAUUUGGAGGUUGUGCCCUUGAGGCGUGGCUUCCGGAGCUAACGCGUU